rnacentral:rRNA from 1 species
AUUGAACGCUGGCGGCAGGCCUAACACAUGCAAGUCGAACGAAUGGCGGACGGGUGAGUAAUGUCUGGGAAACUGACUGAUGGAGGGGGAUAACUACUGGAAACGGUAGCUAAUACCGCAUAACAUCAGAUGUGACCAGAUGGGAUUGGCUUGUUGGGGGGGUAACGGCUCACCAAGGCGACGAUCACUAGCGGGUCUCAGAGGAUUACCGUCCACACUGGAACAGAUACACGGUCCAGACUCCUACGGGAGUCAGCAGUGGGGAAUAUUGCACAAUGGGCGCAAGCCUGAUGCAGCCAUGCCGCGUGUAUGAAGAAGGCCUUCGGGUUGUAAAGUACUUUCAGCGGGGAGGCGUUACCCGCAGAAGAAGCACCGGCUAACUCCGUGCCAGCAGCCGCGGUAAUAC